GACGAACCGAGCGAACGUUAUUCGGAAUCACUGGGCUUAAAGGGCGCGUAGGCGGCCCGGCGCGUCCGCGGUGAAAGCUCCCGGCUCAACUGGGAGAGGUCCGCGGAAACGGUCGGGCUGGAGCAAGGUAGGGGGUCGUGGAGUUCCCGGUGUAGUGGUGGAAUGCGUAGAGAUCGGGAGGAACACCAGUGGCGAAGGCGGCGACCUGGACCUGUGCUGACGCUGAGGCGCGAAAGCGUGGGGAGCGAUCCGG
rnacentral:rRNA from 1 species